UGGUGCUGCAGCUUCUUUGCAUUUCCGUUUUUGCUUUUUUGUGUGUCCAGUGUGAAAGGAAAAUAAAAACUUGGGACCGUAAUCCACUGUGCUAAAAGGAAAAAGCUGAGAAUGGAGUCAGGCAAGAAGCUGUGUUUCCUUAUGUUCCUCAGCAGACAGCUACAGAGAAAGGGCCAGACAGGCCAGGCACGGUGGCUCACGCCGGUAAUCCCAGCACUUUGAGAGGCCUAAGCGGAAGCAUCACUUGAGCCCAGAAGUUCAAGACCAGCCUGGGCAACAUGGUGAAACCCUGUCUCUACAAAGAAAAUACAAAAAUUAGCCAGGUGUGAUGGCGCACACCUGUGGUCCGAGCUACUUGGGAAGCUGAGGCCUGCAGUGAGCCAAGAUCAAGAUCACACCACUGCACUCCAUCCUGGCCCACUUUUCCCCUUUAAAGACUGAAGCCCUCAAAAUCAUCUUUGGAGAAAGGCACAGACCUCUCGGGUGUGCCCUCAACCUCAGCAAAACACAAUUCUAAGUUGACGGAGAUCUGUCUCAGGUACGUUUGGUUUGCACUCUAGCAUGUAUGCAGAUGGACUCUUUCAUGUUUACAACCAGCUCUUAGGAUAAUGGUCCAAUUAUGAUCUCCAUUUACAUCUAAAGAUACCGAAGUGCCCGACUGAGUAACUCACCCAAGGGUACGUAGCCAGGGCUGACAGAGCAGGACUCCCUCAAGUACCCAGACAAUACAUAACUGGGUUUUGAGAUGGAGUCUUGCUCUGUUGCCCAGGCUGGAGUGCAGUGGCACAACCUCAGAUCACUACAACCUCUGCCUCCUGGGUUCAAGCGAUUCUCCUGCCUCAGCCUCCCAAGUAGCUGGGAUUAUAGGUGCCCACCAUUGUGCCUGGGUAAAUUUUUUUCUUUUUUUGAGACAGAGUUUCAUUCUUGUUGCCCAGGCUGGAGUGCAAUGGCACAAUCUUGGCUCACUGAAACCUCUACCUCCCAGGUUCAAGCGAUUCUCCUGCCUCAGCCUCCCGAGUAGCUGGGGUUAUAGGCAACUGCCAUUAAUUAUGUCUGGCUAGUUUUUGUAUUUUUAGUAGAGACGGGGGUUUCACCAUGUUGGCCAGGUUGGUCUCAAACUCCUGACCUCAGGUGAUCCACCCACCUUGGCCUCUCAAAGUGCUGGAAUUACAGACAUAAGCCACCGCGCCCAGCAACAGUACAUAAUUUACAAUUAGUGCGAUUGUGUGAGAUGGAGGUUUCAGUGUUAAAUGGACUAUGUAGUCAGUGCCCAAGGUGAAUCUAGGCUCCAGCACCCACCAGGUAUGAGACUGCAAGUACCUAAUGCCCCACUGUGCCUCAGUUUCUUCAUCUAUAAAAUGGGGCAGCUAUAGCUUCUCACAGGGUGGCUAGUUAACGCUCAGAGUGCUUAGAAUGCAUGGCAGCCAGUGGGCCCUCAGUAUCAGCCCUUAGGAUGAUUAGCACAGACAAUGCCAACACCAACCAAACGUUAGGGGGCAGCGUCAGUACCAGCUUGACAGUUAAGGCAACUGUGCCUGAAAAUGAAAUUAAACACACAGUGACGUGAGGCUAGCAGCGGGCUCUGAAACAGCAGCUCAUUUCCCAAUCUGUGUUCACAACAGUGCUCAGCUUGUGACGCCAUCUGACUGGCUGCUUUUCAGAGGAACCAGGGGCAGGAGCUUCCUUUCCAUUCCUGGACUGCUGGUAGAUGCAGGCCUCCUGGGCACUGCCAUAGCCACUCAUGGCAUGUGUACCAAACCUGCCAGGGUGGUCUCUGUAGUGGCAGUGGCAGCAGCAGCAGUCACAUGGGCAAAGGCCAGAGCACUUUAAGUGAAACAGGCAGAGAGGCCUUUACACUCCACCCCAGGGUUGUUCUAAAAACACCCAGGGUUGUUCAUCACACCCCGUGGAGUUUGUGAUGUCAGAUUUCCUCUUCUGAGAUGGGAGGAUAGCUUGAGUUCCAGGAGAUGGAGGCUGCAGUGAGUCAAGAUCACACCACCGCACUCCUUCAAAUUAGUGGGUAAGGGCUUUAAAAAUGGUAUUGGGAGCUGGGUGCGGUGGUGUAAUCCCAGCACUUUGGGAGGCCAAGGUGGGUGGAUCACCUGAGGUUGGGAGUUCCAAGACCAGCCUGACCAACAUGGAGAAACCCCAUCUCUACUAAAAAUACAAAAUUUAGCCAGGCGUGGUGGCACAUGCCUGUAAUCCCAGCUACUCUGGAGGCUGAGGCAGGAGAAUCACUUGAACCUAAGAGGCAGAGGUUAGGAUAAGCUGAGAUCAUGCCACUGCACUCCGGUCUGGGCAACGAGAGUGAAAUUCCAUCUCAAAAACAAAAGGUAUUAUUGGGUGGUGGGCCAACUAUGGCCUGUGCUAUUGCCAGCUGCAAUGGCUCAGUCCUAUAAUCCCAGUGCUCUGGGAAGCUGAGGUGAGAAGGAUGGAUUGAGGCCAAGUAUUUGAGAACAGAUGGGCAACACAGGCAGACUCUGAUCCUACACAAGGUUUAAAAAUCAACUGGGCAUGGUGGCCUGUGCUUCUAGUCUCAGCUCUUAGGGAAGUUUGAGAUCACAGGGAUCAUGCCACUGCACUCCAGCCUGGGGGACAGAGGGAGACUGUCUCCAAAAAAGCGCCAUGCUCAGGUUUCAAAAUUUUCUUGCACGAAAAUAAACUUGUACUAACUUGUUAUAACAUGUCUGGACAAGAUCUAGUCUGAGGCAGUUAAGGGCAUGACAGUGUUUAAAAAGAGCACCUAUCAGAGCGACAUGAAUUCUGCUAAAAAUGGAAGCAAGAACAGACAUCAAAGUUACGGUGACACUGGGGUGGAAGAAUGGUGAAAAUCAAUUUCUUACCAAAAAACCUAUGGGGACAAUGCCCCCACCCCCGACCAAAAUCAGAGGUUUGCCAAUGGGUAACUUGUGUUAAGAAGGACGAGACAAUGGUGAAGAUGAGACCUCCCCAUCAAUCUGGGAGGUAAAAAUUAAUCUGAUUCAUACCUGAAUCAAAGAGGACCAAUGAUUAACAGCAGAAACAGCCAACACCAUAGACACCUCAGGUGAUUCCGCUUACAUUAUCUGACUGAAAAAUGAACAAUGAGCAAACGUGUCACUCAAUGGCUGCCAAACCAUUGCACCCAGGUCAGCUGGAGACAGGAGCGGAGCUUUCAAGGGAAAUUUUAAACAAGAGAAGUAAAGAUCCUAAAGCAUUUCCUCUGAGAACUGUAACAGGAGAUGGAACACGGCUUUACCAGCACAAUCCUGAGACAAAGCACACUCACAGCACUGGCUCCUGAGAGGUGGGAGGGGUGCUGUCACAGCAAUGCAGACGGGUCCAAAGCAGAGGUCGGACAGCAGUUUUCUGGGAUGCUCAAGGCACCGUGUGUGUGUUGACUUUCUAGGUGACCAAAGAAUGGUAACACCUGCUUAUUCUAAGUGCUUUGUGAAAGUCAGCCAAAGCUAGCAGCGCAAUGCCUGGGGAAGUUUCCCAGAGUCCUUUUCCAUCAUGGCAGCGCUCCUGCUCCAUCAGAGGGCAACUUUCCAGGAGUUUCGAUGGCAAGUCACGAGGCAUCCACCUUACAGUCCUGAUUUGGUUCCUGCUGACUUUUUGUUUCCUAAUCUUAAAAAUCUGCCGAGGGCACCCAUUUUUCCUCAUUAACAAUGUGGAGACUACAUGGACAUGGAUGCAUUUCCAGGACCCUCGGUUCUUUGAGGAUAGACUAAAUGGUUGGUAGUAUGGUAUUAUGGCUUACUGAAGUAUCUUGAACUUGAUGGAACUUAUGUUGAGAAACAAAGUUUAUAUUUUUUGAUUUUUAAUUCCAUUUUCCAUGAACUUUUAAAGGUCCCCUCAUAUAUGUUUACAGAUGUCCACAGAAACGUUAUUCAGAUGCUGAAUAAACAACCAAAAAUAAUUGUUUUAUCAAUGAGGAACCUGUUAAAUCUACAUAAUACAGCUGUAAAAAUAAUUAUGUAGUUCUAUAGUUACUGCUAUGAAAAGACACCUGAGUAGAAACCUAUUUCUGAUGUUACAGAAGAACAAGUAGAGUGCACUCUAAUGUCAACUUCUCUAUGUAUGCAUUCAUAUAUGCCGUACAUUCAGAUGCCUGGAAAGGGCUGUGCACAAAUGUUAGCAGUCAAUGUCUCAGUGACAUAAGUACAGGAGUUUUCCUUUUCCCUUAUACUUCUUUAAAAACACACAGAUUUUUUUCCCCCACAAUGAAUAUCAAUCAUAUUAACAUAUAUAAAGAUUUAAUUUUUUCCCCAGAAGGAAACAAAACGAUUGAGCUUUGUCCACCAUCUAUGGACAAAAAUGCUAUGUGUUCUGCAGACUCAGGUGGUGGCGCCAUGUGUGCUGGGGAGAUGGGGAGGCCCCACCCACUUUUUUCAUUACCGUAGCUGCACGUUUUCAGCAGUGCCUGCAGGGGGAGCUAACGGACCUCCAUGUGGAACAAAUGAAACGUAGUAACCCGGGCACUUGCUCCUCCACUGAUGCGCAUGAGAAAAAGGAAGCCCGAGUUCUUUACAAAGGAAUCUUUGCUAUGAGAAAUAAAAACAACAAACUCUUUUUUAAAAUUUUUAUUCGGUGUUAACUCCACAAGAAAACAAAAAAAAAAAAUCAGUUACUCUGGUGUACGUGAAAUCAGAACAAUACAACCACGGGGAAAAAAUCUCAGCCCAGGAAUGGAAGCUGAUGCUUCAGUGCUAUGGAUAUGCAACGCGCUUCAUACCACAGUGCGUUUCAGCGUUUGCCAACUUUUUAAAGAUGCUUUUUCUUUGUGAUCAUCCAUUCACAAAACUAAAAAAAAAAAACCACACUUUCAUCUUUGUUGCUGAAAGCUUCUGAGCUUCAGCUACUUAACUAUGAAAACAAAUAAAUACACAAUUUGUGAAUCCCUUUGCUCACUUCGAAUCCAUCCCAUUCCCCUGUGGAAGGUGCUGUGUCUCCUCACCCGUGUCUGAGGAGGUCUGCACCUGUGCCACCUGGAGCCCUUUCCUAAUCAACAGCAGCUGUCCAAAAUCAACUGUGCUCAAGGUGGUGUCUGAAAUCUAUUUUUUGGUCUUUGCUACAUAAGCAACGAUUUCUAGAAUAAUCCUCACUGUAGUGAUGUGAGGAAUUUGCAACUUUCAAUCCUUUUUUACCUUUGCUGUUAAAUUUCAGUGCUGAUGCUUAUCAAUUUUUAGGAAGCUCCAGAAGAAUGAAAAAUACAUAAAAACGUAUCUGAAGUUCGUAAAUAAAUAACAGCAACAUAAAACCUUACACAUGCACACACACACACACACACACACACACACAAUCCCACCUUAAAGUGUCAAAAGCUUUGUAUAAAAAUAAACCCUAAUGUGGUAAGAUCAACCUGGCGGGCACCCCAGGUCUCUCUCAGUGAGGACCCACAGAACCUCAGCCACUCCACAGUCUUUGAUGAUACGUUCUGUGUUAUU